CAAAGAGAAGCAAAGCCGCGAGGUAGAGCAGAUCUCAAAAAAACAUCUCAGUUCAGACUGCAGGCUGCAACUCGCCUGCACGAAGUCGGAAUUGCUAGUAAUCGUAGGUCAGCAUACUACGGUGAAUACGUUCCCGGGCCUUGUACACACCGCCCGUCAAACCAUGAGAGUUGGCAACACCCGAAGUCGGUAGUCUAACCGCAAGGAGGACGCCGCCGAAGGUGGGGUUGAUGAUUAGGGUUAAGUCGUAACAAGGUACC
rnacentral:rRNA from 1 species